rnacentral:rRNA from 1 species
UGAAUACGAGAUGCUACGGCGUCGAAGCAGUCUAUGUCAUACUUCCAAGAAAAGCUUGCACUGUCAUAAACAAAUAAUGCCUGUACCAUAACCGACACAGGUGGGUAGGUAGAGUAUACUAAGGGGCGCGAGAUAACUCUCUCUAAGGAACUCGGCAAAAUGACUCCGUAACUUCGGGAGAAGGAGUGCCUUAUUUAUAAGGUUGCAAUAACAAGAUCCAAGCAACUGUUUACCAAAAACACAGGUCUCCGCUAAGUCGUAAGACGAUGUAUGGGGGCUGACGCCUGCCCAGUGCCAGAAGGUUAAAGAAGUUGGUUAGCAUCCGCGAAGCUGAUAACUGAAGCCCUGGUGAACGGCGGCCGUAACAAUAACGGUCCUAAGGUAGCGAAAUUCCUUGUCGGGUAAGUUCCGACCCGCACGAAAGGCGUAAUGAUUUGGAUACUGUCUCGGAGAGGGGCUCGGUGAAAUAGACUUGUCUGUGAAGAUGCGGACUACCUGCACCAGGACAGAAAGACCCUAUGAAGCUUUACUGUAACCUGAAAUUGAAAUUGGACUUUACUUGCGCAGUAUAGGUGGGAGGCGUUGAGAAUAUUCUUGCGGGAUUAUUGGAGCCAUCAGUGAGAUACCACUCUUGUAAUGUUAGAUUUCUAACUUUGUAUCAUUAUCUGGUCAAAGAACAGUUUCAGGCGGGCAGUUUGACUGGGGCGGUCGCCUCCUAAACGGUAACGGAGGCGCACAAAGGUUUCCUCUGAACGGGUAGAAAUCGUAUCUAGAGUGUAAAGGCAUAAGGAAGCUUGACUGUGAGACCUACAAGUCGAGCAGGGACGAAAGUCGGUCUUAGUGAUCUGACGGUGCUGAGUGGAAAGGCCGUCUCUCAACGGAUAAAAGUUACUCUAAGGAUAACAGGCUGAUCUCCCCCAAGAGUUCACAUCGACGGGGAGGUUUGGCACCUCGAUGUCGGCUCAUCGCAUCCUGGGGCGGUAGUACGUCCCAAGGGUUGGGCUGUUCGCCCAUGAAAGCGGUACGCGAGCUGGGUUCAGAACGUCGUGAGACAGUUCGGUCCAUAUCCGGUGUAGGCGUUAGAAUAUUGAGAGGAGCCUUCUUUAGUACGAGAGGACCGAGAAGGACAUACCUCUGGUGUACCAGUUAUCGUGCCAACGGUAAACGCUGGGUAGCUAUGUGUGGAGUGGAUAACCGCUGAAAGCAUCUAAGUGGGAAGCCCACCUCAAGAUAAG